rnacentral:rRNA from 1 species
AUGACUUCGCGCAGCAGGGGAAGAUUGGGCAAGGGGGCUUCGGCAACGUCUACCGGGGCGGCGGCCUUAGCGACCACAGACAGCCCGGUGGCCAUCAAGAUGCUCUCCAUGGAAUCGUCUGCGCAGGGGAGGAAAGAGUUCGAGGCGGAGGUGAAGAUUAUAAGCCGGCUGAGGCACCAAAACCUUGUGCACUUGCUAGGCUGGUCCGACAGCGGCAAGGGGCUCCUGCUAGUCUAUGAGUUCAUGCCGAAAGGCAGUCUCGACCAACACAUUUACAGCGAGAACCGUCUCCUCACUUGGUCAGAAAGAUACAAGAUCAUCCUUGGCCUGAGAUCUGCACUACGCUAUCUCCACACAGAGUGUGAUCAAUGUGUGCUGCAUGGUGACAUAAAACCUGAAAAUAUACUCCUCGACUCAUCAUGGAGCACCAAGCUAGCAGAUUUUGGGCUGGCGAGGCUCGUGGAUCAUGGAGCCGGGCCACAGACGACGAAGAACAUCAAGGGCACCCUAUGGUACAUGGACCUGGAGUUUAUUCUCUCACACCAUCCCAUCCCGGAAGCGGACAUCUACAGCUUCGGUGUCGUUCUGUUGGAGGUCGUGUCCGGCCAGCAUCCAGGAAUGAGGAUGAAAUUCCGGGUCAACGAGGACAUCCCGCUGCUGAUGUGGAUCUGGAACCUGUACAAGAAGGGCACCAUCCUUGAAGCGGUGGAUAAAAGGCUACACGGGGACAACCAGCAGCUCGACCACAACUGUAAGUGGCAGUUGCAUCAUGCGCUGGUCGUCGGGCUCUGGUGCACGCACCCAUGCCUAGAGGCGCGACCGUCCAUUGUGCAGCUCAUGAAUGUCUUGCAGUCAAAGGACGUCACGCUGCCGGCCCUGUCUUGGCCAGCCCCGGCCAACAUUACUACUGGAUUACAUGGGUAUAACAGCGCAUCAACCUCAUCGGUCAAUGCUUGA